rnacentral:rRNA from 1 species
CAGUAGCCGCGGGAAUACGAAGGGGGCUAGCGUUGCUCGGAAUGACUGGGCGUAAAGGGCGCGUAGGCGGUUUUGACAGUCAGAUGUGAAAUUCCUGGGCUUAACCUGGGGGCUGCAUUUGAGACGUCAAGACUAGAGUGUGAGAGAGGGUUGUGGAAUUCCCAGUGUAGAGGUGAAAUUCGUAGAUAUUGGGAAGAACACCGGUGGCGAAGGCAGCCCCCUGGGCCAAUACUGACGCUCAUGCACGAAAGCGUGGGGAGCAAACAGGAUUAGAUACCCCAGUAGUCCCUGUCUCUUAUAC